rnacentral:rRNA from 1 species
UCCUACGGGGGGCAGCAGUGGGGAAUAUUGGGCAAUGGACGCAAGUCUGACCCAGCAACGCCGCGUGAAGGAAGAAGGCUUUCGGGUUGUAAAGUUCUGUCCUUAUCGAAGAGAGGGUAUAGAGUGAAAAAUGAUAUACUAGGACGGUAGAUGAGGAGGAAGCCACGGCUAACUACGUGCCAGCAGCCGCGGUAAUACGUAGGUGGCAAGCGUUGUCCGGAUUUACUGGGUGUAAAGGGCGUGCAGCCGGGCUGACAAGUCAGAUGUGAAAUCCCGCGGCUCAACCGCGGAACUGCAUUUGAAAC